rnacentral:rRNA from 1 species
GGGUGGUAAUGCCGGAUGCUCCGACUCCUCGCAUGGGGUGUCGGGAAAGAUUUCAUCGGUAUGGGAUGGGGUCGCGUCCUAUCAGGUAGUCGGCGGGGUAACGGCCCACCGAGCCUACGACGGGUAGCCGGCCUGAGAGGGCGACCGGCCACAUUGGGACUGAGAUACGGCCCAGACUCCUACGGGAGGCAGCAGUGGGGAAUAUUGCACAAUGGGCGCAAGCCUGAUGCAGCGACGCCGCGUGCGGGAUGACGGCCUUCGGGUUGUAAACCGCUUUUGAUCGGGAGCAAGCCUUCGGGUGAGUGUACCUUUCGAAUAAGCACCGGCUAACUACGUGCCAGCAGCCGCGGUAAUACGUAGGGUGCAAGCGUUAUCCGGAAUUAUUGGGCGUAAAGGGCUCGUAGGCGGUUCGUCGCGUCCGGUGUGAAAGUCCAUCGCUUAACGGUGGAUCUGCGCCGGGUACGGGCGGGCUGGAGUGCGGUAGGGGAGACUGGAAUUCCCGGUGUAACGGUGGAAUGUGUAGAUAUCGGGAAAGAACACCACACCC